rnacentral:rRNA from 1 species
AUUGAACGCUGGCGGCAGGCCUAACACAUGCAAGUCGAACGAGUGGCGGACGGGUGAGUAAUGUCUGGGAAAGUGCCUGAUGGAGGGGGAUAACCACUGGAAACGGUAGCUAAUACCGCAAACUAUCAGAAGUGCCCAGAUGGGAUUAGCUAGUAGGUGGGGUAACGGCUCACCUAGGAGACGAUCCCUAGCUGGUCUGAGAGGAUGAUCAGCCACACUGGAACUGAGACACGGCCCAGACUCCUACGGGAGGCAGCAGUGGGGAAUAUUGCACAAUGGGCGCAAGCCUGAUGCAGCCAUGCCGCGUGUAUGAAGAAGGCCUUCGGGUUGUAAAGUACUUUCAGCGGGGAGGCGUUACCCGCAGAAGAAGCACCGGCUAACUCCGUGCCAGCAGCCGCGGUAAUAC